rnacentral:rRNA from 1 species
AUAUUAGGUUAAGUUAUUAAGGGCGUAUGGUGGAUGCCUUGGCACUAGGAGCCGAUGAAGGACGUGACUAACUGCGAUAUGCUUCGGGGAGUUGUAAGUAAACUAUGAUCCGGAGAUUUCCGAAUGGGGAAACCUAACAGGUUUUACCGCCUGUUAUCACUAAGUGAAUUCAUAGCUUAGUUGAAGGUAGACGUGGGGAACUGAAACAUCUAAGUACCCACAGGAAGAGAAAGAAAUUCGAUUCCCUCAGUAGCGGCGAGCGAACCGGGAAGAGCCCAAACUA